rnacentral:rRNA from 1 species
CCUACGGGAGGCAGCAGUGAGGAAUAUUGGUCAAUGGGCGCAAGCCUGAACCAGCCAUGCCGCGUGAAGGACGACGGCCCUACGAGUUGUAAACUGCUUUGUACCGGGGUAAAAUGCUGUAAGUGUUGGCCUUUUAAAUUAACGUUCGCAACAGGAUCGGCUAAAGCCGGGUCCGCAGCCGCGGUAAUACGGAGGCUCCGAGCGUUAUCCGGAAUCAUUGGGUUUAAAGGGUGCGUAGGUGGGUUUUUUAGUUAGCUGUGAAAUACCCAGGCUCAACCUGGGAACUGCAGCUGAUACUGUAAGACUAGAGUACGGUUGAGGCAGGCGGAAUGUGUGGUGUAGCGGUGAAAUGCGUAGAUA